CCAGAAUAGAACAGCAGGGAAUAUCCCUUGCAUAUUUACAGAAAUAUUCUACUUACUGCAGAACAUCCAGACAUCAUUUUCAGACUACAAGAUUGACAUUAAUCAGAAAACCAUGCAUGUAAACGUGGCCAGUGUUAGUUUGCUGCAACUUGCAUGCUGUUGUGUUAAGGUGUGCAAGCAGUGUGACAUCUGUCGCAUUCUAGAAGUCAUGAUUUAUCUUUAUCUCACUGGAGAACAUUGUAACUUCCCAAUACCUCUGCUGCAAGUCUGAACGGAGGGAGAACAAAUACGUCCUGACAACUUUCAGUUCAGUUUAAUUAUUGAGCAAGUGAAAAGACACAGUGUCUCCAGUAGAUUCACUCAUCAAGCAAAUGCACACAGAAACACUGACAGAGACUAACAGUAGGAAAUGGCAUGAUCAAGAAGAUAAUAAAUCCAUAUUUACUGUAUGGUAAAAUACAGCAUGUUCUUAUCAUCACAUCCAAUCUGCUCUAAAUGAGAAACAGCACAGUCAAAUAGUAAUGAUAACUGUCCAUUACAGAAAGCUAAGACAGACAUAUCUAACACUCAAUGUAAAAAAUUCUAGUCAUAAAUUAUUUGUUAUGAGUUAUCUGGUGAGUGAACCAUAGCCUAUGUAAUUUCCACAUUCAACAUUCAACUGCAGGAAGACAAAAGAAGUUAUUUUAAGAGAACCAGUCACGUAAUGCACACUCAAGAACAGACCUCAAAGAACCUUUUCCUCAUUCAACUUUUACAAUAAAAGAAUAACAGUAAUUCUGGUGACUUUGGUUUUGAAGUCCAGUCAGCAAAGGUCACACAAAGCAACAAUCUCUUAAUGUGGAUGAAAGUUAGGCAGCUGAAUCUAAUACAGUGCAUUAAAAGGAAACAUUUAUGUUAAAUAUUGUAUAUGGUCCCUUUCCAAAUAAAUAAAACUAAAACUAAACUGAGACUGUAGCCAGAGCCCGAGCUUGUGAAGUAAAAGAUCCAUGGAGGUCCACAACAGUUUCCAGAUGUUAUCUUAAAAUGGAAAAGGGCCCAGAUUGCCGUAUGGAGGUUAUAAAUACAUACAUUUAUAUCCCACAUAAUUAAAGAUUUAUUUUCCAUCAUAAAAAAGGAAACCUUCACGAAUACAGAAAUACAAUAAAGCAAUAAACAUUAACUGAACAACAUAAAAUGUAUCAUAAAACCCUUAUGGUAACUGAUCUAAAAAAUAAUGUGAAAUGUAACUAUUUUAAGUAAAAAUGUGUCAUGCAGAGAUUUUUUUAGAACAGUUUUUCAUUAUAUAUUAUAAGGUGCCUAGUUUUUACUUGCAAUAUUUUGCUUUAAAGGAGUAAACACAUCGUGUAUAAUAUAGAUUUUACAUUAUUAUUUUUUACAUUAUUUUUUAUAUAAAAUUAUAGGCUUUUUUUAUCAUAUAUAUAGUAAAGUAACAAUAUAAAUUAUUCGAAAUUAUAUAAACCAAAGGUCAAUAUGUGCAGAUUAUUGCAAACUAAUACAACAAAACCCGUUUGUUUUUAAAUUAUGCAUCAAACAAUUGCUUGUAACACAAUAAUAAAUCCCGUAUUAUUAUUGCACUUUAACAUAAGGCGCAAUAGAAAAAUAAAUCACAAUAUAAUACUGAUUAAAUAAAAUGAUCAGUCGCCCAUUUUAAAUAAGCAAAGUCAGAGCAGAAGAAGGACAUUCGCACUGAUAAAUGUGCUGUGUUGGGACAGUUUGCAUAGUGCAUUAGAAACAGCUGGAACAGCUUCUUUCAGUUACACGUGAUUGAAUCCAGAAGCAGUCUCUGUCCUUGUGAACUAUCCGCGAAGGCACGAGCCGUUUGUCUUCGUGGCGUUGUUGUGACUGUCUGGGGUCCAGAAGAGCACGUAGUAGAUGGCUAAGAAGAAAGCUGCGACUGAAACACACAGAAAGUAAGCGAUGCCCAUCGCUACUUUCACCCAGAUCUUCGUGGCUCUGUUCGCGUGCUUCACCCUCUGGUCUCCGGGGUAACUUGGUCUCAGCUCCGCUCCUCCGUUAGUCCUGCCGGUGCUGACGGGUUUGUCUCCUCUCAUUCUGAGAUGACGGAUAUUCCUGAUAUUUCCAGCGGUCAGUGUGUGUCUGCUGCGAAUGCCCUGAUCCAGGUGACUGGAUCCCUGCACUCCUCUGAGGGAUGCUAGUGUUCCUGCACCAUCAGAGUGAUUCUCAUGCCAGAUGCACACUAGAUUUAAUUGAAC
ensembl:lncRNA